CUUCUGACUAAAGUUCAGUUGAACUUUAGUCAAGAGCCUGACGGUAAACAACCACAGAGAAGAAAAUCUGUUCCAGAGAUUUUCGGGAGACAGAAGCAAUAGGAACCUAGGAAAAGCAAGGAUUUGGAAAUAAGACAGAAUGAGCUUUGUUGGAAAUCAACUACUUACUGAUCAUGGCAGCAAGAACCUUCAACUGGCAUUGGAUGGAGAAAAUGACAGAGCCCCACAUAGGAGCACCGGAC